UAGCUCAGUCGGUAGAGCAUCAGACUUUUAAUCUGAGGGUCGGGGGUUCGAGCCCCCC
rnacentral:tRNA from 1 species